GUGAACAUUUGUUGAAAUAGCACAGGAAAAAUGAAGGUUCAAUUUUAAUAGUAUUUUUUCUUGCAGCUGUUAGAUGUCUGGAGAUAGAAUCUGUGUUAGAUCUGUUUCCAGAAUUCAAAGAACUGAAAGCAAAGAUUGACACAAGAGCUUUUCUGUCAGCAUGGGUUCCUCAUUCAAAAACGAUGUCACCCAAUGAGAUCAUACCAUUCACGACUAUAAUUGACAAGCAUGGUAUAAGUAGCGUUUCAUCAAUGACAAGCAGAGGAAUAUUUACUUGCGAGAAAACGGGAUACUACUUCGUGUCUUUUUUUGUGACGUCCAAUUCACCAAGAGCAGCAGCAAGUUUGUAUAAGACUAGAACUUUGUAUAAUAUUUCUUAUACGAUCGCAAGAGCUAUGAAAAGUGGUGAUGAUGAUUAUGAAUCGCAUGCCGCGAUGACAAUAACUCAACUUGAUAAAGGAGAUAUUCUAUCAGUGAAAGCUAACAAUAAUGGGAUGAAUGUUUACAAUACGUACGAUUCAGGAUUCACCAUUCUUCAGAUAAACUAAUGAAAGCAAUAAUUCUAUGUUUUGACAUGUAUUUCAGUUUUACUUUUAUUUUAUAUGUAAAAAUUUCGAAAUUAAAUUGCUCAUACUAAUUGAUGAAAAUUU